GCCCCUGUAGCUCAGUACGGAUAGAGCAGUGGUUUCCUAAACCAUGUGUCCCCAGUUCGAGUCUGGGCAGGGGUA
rnacentral:tRNA from 1 species